rnacentral:rRNA from 1 species
CUACGUGCCAGCAGCCGCGGUAAUACGUAGGGCGCGAGCGUUGUCCGGAAUUAUUGGGCGUAAAGGGCUUGUAGGCGGUUGGUCGCGUCUGCCGUGAAAUUCUCUGGCUUAACUGGGGGCGUGCGGUGGGUACGGGCUGACUUGAGUGCGGUAGGGGAGACUGGAACUCCUGGUGUAGCGGUGGAAUGCGCAGAUAUCAGGAAGAACACCGGUGGCGAAGGCGGGUCUCUGGGCCGUUACUGACGCUGAGGAGCGAAAGCGUGGGGAGCGAACAGGAUUAGAUACCCUGGUAGUCCACGCUGUAAACGUUGGGCACUAGGUGUGGGGGCCACCCGUGGUUUCUGCGCCGUAGCUAACGCUUUAAGUGCCCCGCCUGGGGAGUACGGCCGCAAGGCUAAAACUCAAAGAAAUUGACGGGGGCCCGCACAAGCGGCGGAGCAUGCGGAUUAAUUCGAUGCAACGCGAAGAACCUUACCAAGGCUUGACAUGC